ACACCUUCGAUUGGAUCAGUCGAAAUGCCUAGCGCUUCAGUUCCAAAAUCGUUAGUACUAAAAUGUUUUUAAAUUCACGUGGAGCAGAAAAUUUGUUGGAGUUCUAAAUACGUUCGGUUUGGUUUGGUUGAUGUUUAAACGUGUCGUUGUGGCGCCAAUACCCAUGCAUGUUUACUAUCGCUUAUCGAUACACCGCGUACACGGCAACCGUGUGUGACCAAAUCAAGCACACAAUCGUUGACCAACACUGACUGCACAGCAGCAACAACAAAAACACAAGCAACAACACCGACGUGCGUGUUCCUGUGUGUGUGUGCGUGUGAGAUUGGAAGACAAUGGCUGCAGCUGCGGAUCUGGUUGUUCCUACCCUUGCCAUUCGUUCUAGCGUGGCCGUGGAAGUGUGGUCCUCGGCGGGCUCCAAGCAGCCCUUCGAGCACAAGCCCCACCUGCCACGCGAGGAGACGAAGAGCUCACGCUCGAUCUGCUUCAGCCCCGACGGCCGGUACUUCGCCUACUCCAACGGUCAGGAAGUCAAGGUGCUCCAGGCCAGCCGGGACAGCGCAGCCAGCUGGCCGGCCAAGUGCGUCCUGCCCAGGCCGAAGGCCUUCUACCUCCAAUUCUCGCCACGUGGCAGCUACCUGUGCACCUGGGAGCACUAUGCCAUCACUAAGGACCGGCCGGAAGGGUCGCCCAAUCUGCUCGUCUACGAUGUGGCCACCGGCGUCGAAGUGUUCGCCAUCGUCCAGAAGAACCAAACAGACUGGCAGCCCUCCUGGUCGGCGGAUGAGUCCAUAUUCGCUCUGGUAGUCGGCGGCGAGGCACUCUUUUAUGACCUCGGCGAGGGUGCCGAUAAGGGAUUCGCCUCCACAUCGCGCAAGAUAGGAGGCAGUCGGGGCGGUAUGCUGUCGCUGGGCCCCGGUAACUGUCCCCCGUUCCUUGCCUUUUACACGCCGGGUGCCAAGGGCGCUCCGUCCAUGUGCAAGCUCUACAAGUACCCGGCGCUUGGCCAAAACCAGACCGUAGCCUGCAAGAGCUUCUUCCAGGCGGAUCGCGUCGAAAUGUUGUGGAACAAGCGGGGCAGCGGACUGCUCCUCCUAACCAGCACGGAAGUGGAUAAGAGCGGUGCCUCUUACUACGGCAACCAGGCGGUGCACUUCAUGGCCACCAAGGGCGACACCUGCUCAGUGCCCCUCUCUAAGGAGGGACCGGUGCACUGUGUCAAGUGGAGUCCCAAGGCAACCGAGUUUGUAGUCGUAUAUGGCUACAUGCCCUCCAAGGCGGCUCUCUACAACCUUAAGUGCGAUGUGGUCUUUGACUUUGGUGAGGGACCACGGAACUGUGCCUACUUCAAUCCGUUUGGCAACCUCAUAGUUCUCGCCGGCUUCGGCAAUCUGCCUGGAGCCGUCGAGGUGUGGGAUGUGACCAAACGCGAGAAGCUGGCUAACCUCAAGUGUGCCGACACCACGGUCUUUGAGUGGCAUCCCAAUGGCGAGUGGUUCGUCACGGCCACCACCGCACCUAGACUCCGCAUUAGCAAUGGGUUCAAGGUGUACCACUACUCCGGGGCUCUGCUCCACGAGACUAUGUGGCCCAACGGUCAGGAAUUGCUGGGAAUUGAGUGGCAGCAGUUUGCGGAUAAGACGUUCAGCGAGCCCAAGAUUACCAAGGCCAAGCACGAGGGCAUCAAGUCCAGCCAGCCAGAGGCCAGCAAGAAGGCUUACACACCGCCCCAUCUGCGCUUGUUGAAGGAGGGCAAGAAUCCGGAAAAGUAUCUGCCCCAGCCGAGUAUUCCCGGACUGGCCCCGGCGGCAGCAGCAGGUAAUGCGACGCGGAAGUUUUGGCACAGGCAGUACGACCUGGAUAAUCCCAUUAUGCGGCGAGGCGAGCAGGUCCAGUGCCAGCUGGUGGCGGCGAACGGCGCGGAAAGACCACCGUCUACCGGGUCCUCGACCAGCCGCCACAAUCGGCGCUAUCGACCCUACCAGCACAAACGCUACUAGGCUCAAAACUCACGCAGCUUGUCAGCUCCUCUCACCCCUUCCACACACAUUUUGUAUUAGCAUGCCAUUAGGAUUAGGGAUUGCGCGGCCGUGGUGCCAAUGGUAACAAGAGGAACAACAAGAACAAGCAGCGAAGCGCUAAGAAGGAUGUUAACGUUGUAAAUGGCGGCG
rnacentral:misc_RNA from 1 species